rnacentral:rRNA from 1 species
AACGAACGCUGGCGGCAUGCCUAACACAUGCAAGUCGAACGAGACCUUCGGGUCUAGUGGCGCACGGGUGCGUAACGCGUGGGAAUCUGCCCCUGGGUUCGGAAUAACAGUUAGAAAUGACUGCUAAUACCGGAUAAUGUCUUCGGACCAAAGAUUUAUCGCCCAGGGAUGAGCCCGCGUAGGAUUAGCUAGUUGGUGGGGUAAAGGCUCACCAAGGCGACGAUCCUUAGCUGGUCUGAGAGGAUGAUCAGCCACACUGGGACUGAGACACGGCCCAGACUCCUACGGGAGGCAGCAGUGGGGAAUAUUGGACAAUGGGCGAAAGCCUGAUCCAGCAAUGCCGCGUGAGUGAUGAAGGCCUUAGGGUUGUAAAGCUCUUUUACCCGGGAUGAUAAUGACAGUACCGGGAGAAUAAGCCCCGGCCUAACUCCGUGCCAGCAGCCGCGGUAAU